rnacentral:pre_miRNA from 1 species
AGUGGAAUAGCUGGGUCAUAUGGCAAAUGUAUGUUUAACUUUUUAAGAAAUUGUCAAACUGUUUUCCAAAGUGGUUGUGACAUUUUACACUCCUAACAGCAGU